GACGAACGCUGGCGGCGUGCCUAAUACAUGCAAGUUGAGCGCUGAAGGUUGGUACUUGUACCGACUGGAUGAGCAGCGAACGGGUGAGUAACGCGUGGGGAAUCUGCCUUUGAGCGGGGGACAACAUUUGGAAACGAAUGCUAAUACCGCAUAAAAACUUUAAACACAAGUUUUAAGUUUGAAAGAUGCAAUUGCAUCACUCAAAGAUGAUCCCGCGUUGUAUUAGCUAGUUGGUGAGGUAAAGGCUCACCAAGGCGAUGAUACAUAGCCGACCUGAGAGGGGGAUCGGCCACAUUGGGACUGAGACACGGCCCAAACUCCUACGGGAGGCAGCAGUAGGGAAUCUUCGGCAAUGGACGAAAGUCUGACCGAGCAACGCCGCGUGAGUGAAGAAGGUUUUCGGAUCGUAAAACUCGGUUGGUAGAGAAGAACGUUGGUGAGAGUGGAAAGCUCAUCAAGUGACGGUAACUACCCAGAAAGGGACGGCUAACUACGUG
rnacentral:rRNA from 1 species